UACGUAGGGGGGCUAGCGUUGUCCGGAAUCAUUGGGCGUAAAGAGCGCGUAGGCGGUCCGGUAAGUCCGCUGUGAAAGUCGGGGGGCUCAACCCCCGGGAGGCGGGUGGAUACUGUCAAGCUCGAGUCCGGAAGAGGCGAGUGGAAUUCCUGGUGUAGCGGUGAAAUGCGCAGAUAUCAGGAGGAACACCAAUGGCGAAGGCAGCUCGCUGGGACGUGACUGACGCUGAGACGCGAAAGCGUGGGGGAGCAAACAGG
rnacentral:rRNA from 1 species